AGCAGCCGCCGCGGUAAUGCGAAGGGGGCUAGCGUUGCUCGGAAUGACUGGGCGUAAAGGGCGCGUAGGCGGUUUUGACAGUCAGAUGUGAAAUUCCUGGGCUUAACCUGGGGGCUGCAUUUGAGACGUCAAGACUAGAGUGUGAGAGAGGGUUGUGGAAUUCCCAGUGUAGAGGUGAAAUUCGUAGAUAUUGGGAAGAACACCGGUGGCGAAGGCGGCAACCUGGCUCAUUACUGACGCUGAGGCGCGAAAGCGUGGGGAGCAAACAGGAUUAGAUACCCCGGUAGUCCCUGUCUCUUAUAC
rnacentral:rRNA from 1 species